GGAGAUGUGGCUCAGUGGUAAAAGCACUUGCCUAGCAGUGGGAGGCCCUGAGUUCAAUCCCCAGCAUCACCA
rnacentral:tRNA from 1 species